UACGUAGGGUGCAAGCGUUGUCCGGAAUUAUUGGGCGUAAAGAGCUCGUAGGCGGUCUGUCGCGUCUGCUGUGAAAACUCAGGGCUUAACCCUGAGCUUGCAGUGGGUACGGGCAGACUAGAGUGCGGUAGGGGAGACUGGAAUUCCUGGUGUAGCGGUGAAAUGCGUAGAUAUCAGGAGGAAUACCGGUGGCGAAAGCGACUCUCUGGACGGCAACUGACGCUGAGGCACGAAAGCGUGGGGAGCAAACAGG
rnacentral:rRNA from 1 species